AAGCGGUGGAAAAGAAACCAAAAGGGAUUCCCAGAGUAACGGCGAGUGAAAAGGGACCAGCCCAGCGCAAAGGCCGCUCGCCCCACGGGGUGCUGCGUGCGAUGCUGCGUUAAUGCCGGGGCGACUGCCUCGACGGCGGGUGCGCGUUCAAGUUCCUUUGAAUAGGACCAAGUAACCCACAGCGGGUGGAAGGCCCAUAGAGCGGCGCGCCCGCCAUGAGCUAGCCUCGGCAUGAUAGAGUCACGUUGCUUGAGAGUGCAGCGUCAAGACGCGAGGUAAACUCCUCGUAAGGCUAAAUAAGACUGCGAGACCGAUAGCAAACAAGUACCGUGAGGGAAAGUUGCAAAGAACUUUGAAGAGAGAGUUCAAAAGGACGUGAAACCGCUUGCGGGUAAACGGGUGGAGCCACGAAGUCUGAACGGGGCGGAAAUUCAGCCGCUGGCCGGGUGUAGGCUGGAGGAGCGGGGGCCCUCGGGUCACUUUGCUCUGGCCGUCGAUGCCUGGCCGGCGGUGCAUUUUCUGCGGCUCCGGGAAGAUGCCCUGACCGAUGGGAGCGCUGCGGCAGCCGGUAACGGGAGUCCAGGCGGAAGGUAGCGACAAGGCGCCCUCGGGCGCCGCGACGUGUUAUAGCCCCCUGCUCGGUACUCGCCGCAGAAGGCCUAUCGGAGAAAGUAGCCUUCGGGCUUUGCAGACGGGGGGAGAGGGGACAGUGCCGGUGGGCUGCUGAUGUGUGCGACGCUAGGGCGGCUUCGGCCGUCGUGCCCGCGCCUUCGGCGGCCCAGCGCCGGUGUGUCCCCGGACCCUCCCGAGCAAUCGAGAG
rnacentral:rRNA from 1 species